rnacentral:rRNA from 1 species
UCAGUGGCUCAAGAACGAACGCUGGCGGCAGGCCUCAAACAUGCAAGUCUAGGGGGGUGUAGCAAUACAUCACCGGCGGACGGGUGCGUAACGCGUGGGAAUAUACCUAUUGGUUCGGAACAACACAGGGAAACUUGUGCUAAUACCGAAUGUGCCCUUACGGGGAAAGAUUUAUCGCCAAUGGAUUAGCCCGCGUCCGAUUAGCUAGUUGGUGAGGUAACGGCUCACCAAGGCUCCGAUCGGUAGCUGUUCUGAGAGGAAGAUCAGCCACACUGGGACUGAGACACGGCCCAGACUCCUACGGGAGGCAGCAGUUGGGAAUCUUGGACAAUGGGGGAAACCCUGAUCCAGCUAUGCCGCGUGAGUGAUGAAGGCCUUCGGGUUGUAAAACUCUUUCGACGGGGACGAUAAUGACGGUACCCGUAGAAGAAGCUCCGGCUAACUUCGUG